rnacentral:rRNA from 1 species
GACGAAGGAUGCAAGCGUUAUCCGGAUUCAUUGGGUUUAAAGGGCGCGUAGGUGGCCUUAUAAGUCAGCGGUGAAAUCUCUGGGCUUAACCCAGAAAUUGCCAUUGAUACUGUAGGGCUUGAGUAUAGUUGCCGUUGGCGGAAUAUGACAUGUAGUGGUGAAAUACAUAGAGAUGUCAUAGAACACCGAUUGCGAAGGCAGCUGACGAAACUAUAACUGACACUGAGGCUCGAAAGUGCGGGGAUCAAACAGG